UACUAAAAAAAAAACCUUCAUCAAAAGCUUCUGCGAAACCGAAUCGAACGAGAUCAAAUAGUGUUGGACGACCAAAAGAGGGCUACUUACUCCAUGAAAGCAAAUAAAGAGAGAGUUAGAAGAGAACCCUCAAAUAGACGCACCGCCGGGAGAGAGCCAACGGAGCCAGAUCCACUGUCCUCGAGUAGAUCUAGAUCCGAUAGAUGCCCAGAGAAAAGCACACCGUGAGCUUACACUUCACUCCGCCACA
rnacentral:lncRNA from 1 species